UCUGUCCUUAGUACGAGAGGACCAGGAUGGACCAGCCUCUGGUGUUCCUGUUGUCGCGCCAGCGGCAUCAGCAGGGUAGCUAUUGCUGGUACGGAAUAACCGCUGAAAGCAUCUAAGCGGGAAGUCCACCUCAAGAUAAGGUUUCCCAUCUCGAUGAGAAUCGAGACUAAAGAUCCCCCGUAGACUACGGGGUUGAUAGGCCAGGUGUGUAAGUGCUGUGAAGCAUUUAGCUGACUGGUACUAAUUGAUCGAGCGCCUUGGCCAU
rnacentral:ncRNA from 1 species